rnacentral:rRNA from 1 species
GAUGAACGCUGGCGGCGUGCCUAAUACAUGCAAGUCGAGCGAACGGACGAGAAGCUUGCUUCUCUGAUGUUAGCGGCGGACGGGUGAGUAACACGUGGAUAACCUACCUAUAAGACUGGGAUAACUUCGGGAAACCGGAGCUAAUACCGGAUAAUAUUUUGAACCGCAUGGUUCAAAAGUGAAAGACGGUCUUGCUGUCACUUAUAGAUGGAUCCGCGCUGCAUUAGCUAGUUGGUAAGGUAACGGCUUACCAAGGCAACGAUGCAUAGCCGACCUGAGAGGGUGAUCGGCCACACUGGACCUGAGCCACGGUCCAGACUCCUACGGGAGGCAGCAGUAGGGAAUCUUCCGCAAUGGGCGAAAGCCUGACGGAGCAACGCCGCGUGAGUGAUGAAGGUCUUCGGAUCGUAAAACUCUGUUAUUAGGGAAGAACAUAUGUGUAAGUAACUGUGCACAUCUUGACGGUACCUAAUCAGAAAGCCACGGCUAACUACGUG